CCUAACAUCCAUAUCAUCCUGCAGCCCAAGAUCGGUUACUCAUUGAAGCUAAGCAGGACUGAGCCUGGUCAAUACCUGAAUGGGAGAUCACAUGGGAAAACUAGGUGGCUGUUGGAA
ensembl:rRNA 5S_rRNA 5S ribosomal RNA